rnacentral:ncRNA from 2 species
CUCCCCAAUCGAGGUGAUUUGGGCCGGCUGGCUUGCGGCCUCGUUAAAUAAACAGCUAAAAUCGCCGGAGGGAACCCGGC